AUCUAUUAGAAGUCCGGCAUCGAUGAAGAACGCAGCGAAAUGCGAUAAGUAAUGUGAAUUGCAGAAUUCCGUGAAUCAUCGAAUCUUUGAACGCAUAUUGCGCCCCCUAGUAUUCCGGGGGGCAUGCCUAUUCGAGCGUUA
rnacentral:rRNA from 1 species